UACGAGGGGGGCAAGCGUUGAUCGGAAUUACUGGGCGUAAAGGGCGCGUAGGCGGCCAUCUAAGUCAGACGUGAAAUCCCCCGGCUUAACCUGGGAACUGCGUCUGAUACUGGACGGCUUGAGUAUGGGAGAGGGAUGUAGAAUUCCAGGUGUAGCGGUGAAAUGCGUAGAUAUCUGGAGGAAUACCGGUGGCGAAGGCGGCAUCCUGGACCAUUACUGACGCUGAGGCGCGAAAGCUAGGGGAGCAAACGGG
rnacentral:rRNA from 1 species